rnacentral:rRNA from 1 species
GACGAACGCUGGCGGCGUGCUUAACACAUGCAAGUCGAACGAAAAGGCCCUGCUUUUGUGGGGUGCUCGAGUGGCGAACGGGUGAGUAACACGUGAGUAACCUGCCCUUGACUUUGGGAUAACUUCAGGAAACUGGGGCUAAUACCGGAUAGGAGCUCCUGCUGCAUGGUGGGGGUUGGAAAGUUUCGGCGGUUGGGGAUGGACUCGCGGCUUAUCAGCUUGUUGGUGGGGUAGUGGCUUACCAAGGCUUUGACGGGUAGCCGGCCUGAGAGGGUGACCGGCCACAUUGGGACUGAGAUACGGCCCAGACUCCUACGGGAGGCAGCAGUGGGGAAUAUUGCACAAUGGGCGGAAGCCUGAUGCAGCAACGCCGCGUGCGGGAUGACGGCCUUCGGGUUGUAAACCGCUUUCGCCUGUGACGAAGCGUGAGUGACGGUAAUGGGUAAAGAAGCACCGGCUAAUUACGUG